CCCGUAGCCUCAGCCUCCGCUGGCGUCCGUAGCUGGGAAACCCAGAAUCUGGCGCUUUGGCCUGAAGUCCGCGAUGUCGGGUGAAGAAGUCCAGCAAAGGGUAGAGUCCUCCGAGGCCCGUGCGGCCGCGGUCAGCGACAUCCAGGAGCUGAUGCGACGCAAGGAGGAGAUCGAGGCACAGAUCAAGGCUAAUUACGACGUCCUGGAGAGCCAAAAAGGGAUUGGCAUGAACGAGCCGCUGGUGGACUGUGAGGGCUAUCCCCGGGCAGAUGUGGACUUGUACCAGGUCCGAACAGCAAGGCACAACAUCAUCUGUCUCCAGAAUGAUCACAAGGCACUGAUGAAGCAAGUGGAGGAGGCCCUGCACCAGCUACAUGCUCGGGACAAAGAGAAGCAGGCUCGGGACAUGGCUGAAGCCCGAGAAGAGGCCAUGCACCAAAGGCUGGGCUCCAACAGCCCCGCCCUGCCCCAGGCCUUUGCCAGAGUGAACAGUAUCAGCCCUGGUUCCCCUGCCAGUAUUGCGGGCCUGCAAGUGGAUGAUGAAAUUGUGGAGUUCGGCUCUGUGAACACCCAGAACUUCCAGUCACUGCAGAAUGUGGGCACUGUGGUGCAGCAUAGUGAAGGGAAGCCCCUGAAUGUGACGGUGAUCCGCAGAGGAGAGAAGCACCAGCUCAGACUGAUUCCAACCCGCUGGGCAGGAAAAGGACUGCUGGGCUGCAACAUAAUUCCUCUCCAGAGAUGACUGCUUCCUGGACCUGCAGGAAAGCUUCUUCAGCUGAGCCCUGUGCUGGGCCUGGGAGGGAUUUCCUCAUUCUCCUGGCUCCCUAAGUUUAUUUCCCCAGUUGCCACCCGUUUCUGUUUUGGAUUUCUGGGCCUUUCUACAAGGAAGCUUGCAUCCUUGGAUUGGAUUUACACCGGAUGGAGGCAGAGACCAGCUUUCUCUGAAGGCAGUCAGUACUGAUGUGCGCUUCCUCCUUUGACUCCUCACACUCAACUUGAAAGCCUCCCUAAGCUGCUUCAUCCAGACAGCCUCACGCCACCCCUUCCCCGUAGCCAGACUUGACUGUUUCAAUUGUGGGUUUUAAGUCCAAGUAUUUUCCAGACUGUCUCUAAGUCCCACACUGUAAUAAAACACAACUUGUACCA